rnacentral:rRNA from 1 species
UACGUAGGGUCCAAGCGUUGUCCGGAUUUAUUGGGCGUAAAGAGCUCGUAGGCGGUUCCGUAAGUCGGAUGUGAAAACUCGGGGCUCAACCCCGAGACGCCAUCCGAUACUGCGGUGACUUGAGUCCGGGCAGGGGAGACUGGAAUUCCUGGUGUAGCGGUGAAAUGCGCAGAUAUCAGGAGGAACACCGGUGGCGAAGGCGGGUCUCUGGGCCGGAACUGACGCUAAGGAGCGAAAGCGUGGGGAGCGAACGAGG